rnacentral:rRNA from 1 species
CCUACGGGUGGCAGCAGUGGGGAAUAUUGCACAAUGGGGGAAACCCUGAUGCAGCGACGCCGCGUGAGUGAAGAAGUAUUUCGGUAUGUUAAGCCCUAUCAGCAGGGAAGAAAUAGCGACCUUUGGGUCGCCAGACGGUACCUGACUAAGAAGCCCCGGCUAACUACGUGCCAGCAGCCGCGGUAAUACGUAGGGGGCAAGCGUUAUCCGGAUUUACUGGGUGUAAAGGGAGCGUAGACGGCAGCACAAGUCUGAAGUGAAAUGCCGGGGCGUAACCCCGGAACGGCUUUGGAAACUGUGCAGCUAGAGUGCAGGAGAGGUAAGUGGAAUGCCUAGUGUAGCGGUGAAAUGCAUAGAUAUUAGGAGGAACACCAGUGGCGAAGGCGGCUUACUGGACUGUAACUGACGUUGAGGCUCGAAAGCGUGGGUAGCAAACAGGAUUAGAUACCCUUGUAGUC